AAAUUAUUUCCCAGCUCAGAGUUGGAUCUCAAAGUCCUGGUGACGUUGAGAACAGCAGAUGAUUGGAAAGGUUUAUUCCUCCACACCUGGAUGAUAGACACAAGUCCACUGCAAACAUGAGGUUGGCUUUAUUUGUAAGAGUCACAGCCACACAUGGAGCCCUAACAUUCCCCGCUGCAGUCUACUCAGUGACAAUUAUACUGACUGCCAGUGUCAGUACGUGCUAAGUACAACAGCCAUCUGAGAGUUGCCUGCUGAAUGGAUAUGGCAUCAAGGCUGUAGGCUAGGGAACUUAGGAUGGAAAUGUUCCCUGAAAGGCUUAGUUCUCCCACCAUUCGUGUUACCAUAACACUCUGAUUCAUGUGAUACACUGUGAUGACAUGUGGCCCUCACUUUACAUAUAUAGAUAUAAUGUGGCACACAAUCCACUGUACUUUUACGAUUAUGUAAAAUUUUCAUUUCAAUUAAAAUGCGAAGUGGAAAGCUUGUGUAGAGUGCACAAGAGUUUUUAUUCUGUGCUCCCAGGUGUGAAGGGAUCACAGUUUCUGCACAAACUUUUGGAUUGGUUCACCUGGAGCAUGACUCAAGAGAAGCAUUUCCAAACAGAUAUCUCAAGAUGGGCAAGAUACUUGCUCCCCCUUGUCAAAGAGAAACAGCAUCAGACCCUUGUUAAAGGCAGAAAGACAGGUUUUAUUCAGAUUACUGCAGUAGGGGCGAGAUA
rnacentral:lncRNA from 1 species